GACUACAAUGGCAACAACAAAGAGCAGCAAGUCCGCGAGGCCAAGCGAAUCUCGAAAUGUUGUCCCAGUUCGGAUUGCAGGCUGAAACUCGCCUGCAUGAAGUCGGAAUUGCUAGUAAUGGCAGGUCAGCAUACUGCCGUGAAUACGUUCCCGGGCCUU
rnacentral:rRNA from 1 species